GUAGCAAUAUUGUCUCAGUGGCGAACGGGUGAGUAACGCGUUGGUGACCUGCCCCGAAGAGGGGGAUAACAGUCCGAAAGGAUUGCUAAUACCCCAUGUGGUCAAGAGGAUUAGAUGCCUUAUGACUAAACGGAGAAAUUCGCUUCGGGAGGGGCCUGCGUCCCAUCAGCUAGUUGGUAGGGUAAUAGCCUACCAAGGCGAUGACGGGUAGGGGACCUGAGAGGGUGGCCCCCCACAAUGGAACUGAAACACGGUCCAUACACCUACGGGUGGCAGCAGUAGGGAAUAUUGGUAAUCUGGGAAACCGGGAACCAGCAACGCCGCGUGCGCGAUGAAGGCCUUCGGGUUGUAAAGCGCUUUUUGAGAGGAUGAGGAAGGACAGUACUCUUAGAAUAAGCCUCGGCUAACUACGUGCCAGCAGCCGCGGUAAAACGUAGGAGGCGAGCGUUAUCCGGAUUUACUGGGCGUAAAGCGUGUGUAGGCGGUUUGAUAAGUUGGAUGUGAAAGCUCCUGGCUUAACUGGGAGAGGUCGUUCAAAACUAUCAGACUUGAGAGUGGUAGAGGGAGGUGGAAUUCCGCAUGUAGUGGUGAAAUGCGUAGAUAUGCGGAGGAACACCAGUGGCGAAAGCGGCCUCCUGGCCCAUUUCUGACGCUCAGACACGAAAGCUAAGGUAGCAAACGGGAUUAGAGACCCCGGUAGUCUUAGCUGUAAACGAUGUGAACUUAGUGUCGGUGGGGUUAAAUCCAUCGGUACUGAAGCUAACGCGAUAAGUUCACCGCCUGAGGACUACGGCCGCAAGGUUAAAACUCAAAGGAAUUGACGGGGCCCCGCACAAGCAGCGGAGCCGUGUGGUUUAAAUUCGAUGU
rnacentral:rRNA from 1 species